UAACACAUGCAAGUCGAGCGGAAACGAGUUAUCUGACCCUUAGGGUGACGAUAACGGCGUCGAGCGGCGGACGGGUGAGUAAUGCCUGGGAAAUUGCCCUGAUGUGGGGGAUAACCAUUGGAAACGAUGGCUAAUACCGCAUAAUAGCUUCGGCUCAAAGAGGGGGACCUUCGGGCCUCUCGCGUCAGGAUAUGCCCAGGUGGGAUUAGCUAGUUGGUGAGGUAAGGGCUCACCAAGGCGACGAUCCCUAGCUGGUCUGAGAGGAUGAUCAGCCACACUGGAACUGAGACACGGUCCAGACUCCUACGGGAGGCAGCAGUGGGGAAUAUUGCACAAUGGGCGCAAGCCUGAUGCAGCCAUGCCGCGUGUAUGAAGAAGGCCUUCGGGUUGUAAAGUACUUUCAGCAGUGAGGAAGGUAGUAGUGUUAAUAGCGCUAUUAUUUGACGUUAGCUGCAGAAGAAGCACCGGCUAACUCCGUGCCAGCAGCCGCGGUAAUACGGAGGGUGCGAGCGUUAAUCGGAAUUACUGGGCGUAAAGCGCAUGCAGGUGGAUGAUUAAGUCAGAUGUGAAAGCCCGGGGCUCAACCUCGGAAUAGCAUUUGAAACUGGUCAUCUAGAGUACUGUAGAGGGGGGUAGAAUUUCAGGUGUAGCGGUGAAAUGCGUAGAGAUCUGAAGGAAUACCGGUGGCGAAGGCGGCCCCCUGGACAGAUACUGACACUCAGAUGCGAAAGCGUGGGGAGCAAACAGGAUUAGAUACCCUGGUAGUCCACGCCGUAAACGAUGUCUACUUGGAGGUUGUGGCCUUGAGCCGUGGCUUUCGGAGCUAACGCGUUAAGUAGACCGCCUGGGGGAGUACGGUCGCAAGAUUAAAACUC
rnacentral:rRNA from 1 species